GACGAACGCUGGCGGCGUGCUUAACACAUGCAAGUCGAACGGAAAGGCCCUGCUUUUGUGGGGUGCUCGAGUGGCGAACGGGUGAGUAACACGUGAGUAACCUGCCCUUGACUUUGGGAUAACUUCAGGAAACUGGGGCUAAUACCGGAUAGGAGCUCCUGCUGCAUGGUGGGGGUUGGAUAGUUUCGGCGGGUGGGGAUGGACUCGCGGCUUAUCAGCUUGUUGGUGGGGUAGUGGCUUACCAAGGCUUUGACGGGUAGCCGGCCUGAGAGGGUGACCGGCCACAUUGGAACUGAGAUACGGCCCAGACUCCUACGGGAGGCAGCAGUGGGGAAUAUUGCACAAUGGGCGGAAGCCUGAUGCAGCAACGCCGCGUGCGGGAUGACGGCCUUCGGGUUGUAAACCGCUUUCGCCUGUGACGAAGCGUGAGUGACGGUAAUGGGUAAAGAAGCACCGGCUAACUACGUG
rnacentral:rRNA from 1 species